GAAUUGUGUGGGAUAGAUGUCUAUGGACUGGGCGAUGGGACACAGGUUUAUUUAGCAUCAGGGAAGAAUAUCUGCCAAAUGGGCCAGAGGAGAGGCUCAGUGAGGCAGCAUUACCAGUGGGAAGGGAAUCAAUGCAGUGUUCCAAAGCCACAGGAGAAAGGCAGAGUGCUGUGUUUCUAGCACAGGCUGACAUCGACACCACUUGCUUCAGAGAAAUCUGCCCUUGCCUGAAAUUCCAUAGGAACUAGAAGAUAUAGAGACAUAAAUUCCUGCAAGUGACUUGUAAAUCGUCUUUACUCCUCUCCACCACUAAUCUCAGGCCCUGGAAAAAGAUUUUUGAGUCCUGUGAUUUCCUUUCCUGCGGCAUUUUUAGGGUGGUCUGGUCAAAGCAUACCCUCCUCAAGCUCUGCACCUGCACCUGAGCAUCUCGACGCCGCUGAAGGAGAACACACAAUCCUGUUUACUGGUCUCAUUACAUUUAUGACCGUCAGCCUCAAACAUCGCCCCAAGAUUGCCUGUAUGCCUGCCAUAUUUCUCCAGUCAAUGCAUGCUCCCACACUCUAGCAUGACUGAGUCUACACCAUUUCUCACUUCCCCUGCCUUCCUCCCCUUUCUCAUCAGAUGACCUUGCCUUUGGUCAGAGUCAGAAUAGAACUCUCACAUCCUCUCAUCACCAAACACCCUCACCUCCCUGUGUCUGUCCCCACAGACGCUGCUUUUGGACCUGUCACAAAGCAGGGGAACCAGCUGGGCUCCUGCCCAAGGCUGGAUCCUCCAAGCCCUGGACUCCUUCCUCUCCCAGCCACCCAAGGGCUCUGUUCUUGCACCACCUGCUUCCCCUCUUGCUAGAUCACUUUCUCCAUAGCCCUGCAUCUACCAAUUUCUCCUGUCACUAAAUAAGACUUCCUUUAGUAGGUAUCCUUCUCUGGUCCUCGCCCCAUUUAUCAGAUCCCUUACACUCACACCCCUGAAGUGCUUGUUUCUAUGGCCACCUCUGCUUUCUUUCCUCGGUCUUUACAGAGCCCAUUCUGGUCAAGACUGUUCCCAACAAGGCCAGAAACUGGCCUCCAGAUCUGAGUGUGUGGUAGUAGAGAAUGCAAUGAAGCAGCCACCAGAGGGCUGCUUUUAUUACACCUGUGAAGCUCUUGGAUAAAACAAGACAGCCGUCUAACGUGGAGCUUCCCUUUGAGGAGAGUGAGCGGAGAGCUCUGCUUCUCAAGAAGUGGUCCCUGUGCAAGCAUCAAGAGCACGCAAAGGAGAAGGAUGCCAUCACAUCUAUGCUUGAGUCCCAGCAGGAAGCUCUGCAGGGGCUGGAACUCAUAUCCCCAGAGCUACAUUAGGAGGCUACCAAGCGGGACCCCAACUUGUUCCCCUUUGAAACAGAAGGGCCAGAUUACACACUACCAAUCUCCAGUUACCAGCCCCCUGAGGGCAGGUACCAUGACAUCACCAAGGUGUACACACAGGUGGAGUUUAAGAGAUAGAGCUGCAGGCACAUGUCCACAGAACACACUGCCCUUUUAACCCAGAAUGAGCAGGGCACAGGCCUGCUUGUCACAGAAUCAAGCAUGCUGUGAAUAAAUACCUUUAAUAAAGAAAAAAAAAAGUAGUA